AUGAAGUUCAUCUCCAUAUGAAGUUUUAUGUCCAACACUGGGAAGCGCAUUCAAAAAAGGAAUCAGAGUUCAGAUAAGUGCUACAGAAAGCACCUACAAAACCUGACCUGAAGGAAGAAAGAAAAGUUUUCAUUUCGAAGAAAGAAUCCUGAGAUGUGAAAUGUUGAUAGUGCUGUAUUAGUGUUUAUACUGAAGUUCUGCUCUUGGUAAUGACCUGACCUAAGUCCUUGUCCCUCUGGAAUAGGUAGG
rnacentral:lncRNA from 1 species